CACUCUUGGGGCACUUCCUGUUGUUUGUUGUGUUUGGAGUUUUUUAGGGAUGACACUUAUGAAAGAAACUAAACAGAACAGAGUGUGUGUGCCCAGUGGCCCUACGACACACACAGGAACUUACUGGAGACAGUGGGUGUGUGCUUUCAAUCCACUGCAGAAAAAAAGCCUCACAUUUUACACUCCAUUACAGCAACUUUAUCAACCAGCUUUGAUGCACAUUAAAGAAGACACAGUCCGUGAAAGUUUUUGCGGCAUGCUUUGAUGUUUGUGUGUCAACGAGUUUCUUUGGAUUGGAUUGCACACUGGAAUGAGGCAGGAAUGAGGCACAGUGGACUCACUAACACACACAUACUGUACACAGACGGUGAGAGAAACAGGAAGCUGUGGCAGACGGGAAGUAUUCAUCAGCAUGAGACCGUCUGUUGUCUAUCUCAGAACAGCUGCAACCACGCCUACAGUUGGAAACGAGCGAGCGUUAAUGAGCAAGGACACAAACAUGGACGAUAAAAGGGAUGGAGCAGGAAUAAGAGCAAGAGACAAAGACAGAGUAAAUUAGACAAGGAGCCACAAGGAGAGCCAAGGAAACUUGGCACCAGAUUCAGUUUUCAGACCUCCAGUGGCAGGAGGUCUUAUUACACCACCCUAAUCCCCUUGCCUCUCUCUUCCGCCUCUGCCAAGGCCUCAGAGGAUUGGGGAAAGCCCUGGGAACAUGACAAUCUAUGAGCUAAAGCCCUGGAAAGGCGCCCAUCCGCACUGUGAGGCUGUUCUUUGACAUGUGAACACAGCUGUGUGUCUGGAUUGAUUGAUAUCCAUUAUAAAACAACUCAUUAGGCGGAAAUGAGGUCAGGGUUGAUGGCUGCUGUAGUCUGUUAUCUGCGCUACAACAAAGGGAUGAGGGGAAGAAUAAUGAAGGGCAACAUUUUGAAGGGCCACCUGUGGGAUGUAGCUCACUUUAAAGAUGUACAUAAAGAAGAAGCUCCUCCGCUGCUGGGUCUGACAAAGAUGUGGUUUAAAGACUGAUCCUUAUUUUUUUUAACUGUAUUACUUUUUAGUCAUAUAAUAAGAAAUCUUUCCUGUCUCAAAAAUUUGAUCUGUGUUAACUAGGAAGCAAGUCACUUACAAUCAAGACCUUGUCUUUGAUUACACACACAAAUUGCCACACAAAUGUGAGCACCCCAUGCUUUUUUCAUGGGUGACAGCACAGGCUGAAAAGAGUGAACCAAAGUGGAACAGGGAUGGCAGGGAAGAAGGAGUGAGGGAUGUCAAUGAAGCUCAGAAACAAUGACCAUUCUCAGUGGAGCAUCACGGUGCCCAGGGAAGCAGAGCAGCAGACACACCUCUGAUAUCACUCCUAUUGUGUCUUUGUCUGUCUGUGCCUAUCCUUUCAGAAUCAACAUAUAUUAACACGCCUGCUUCUGUUUGGUAAUCAGAAAUUAACAAGGAAGAGUGGUAGAGUUCACCUUUUUUUUCUUCUUUGAAUGAAAAUAUCUAAUAAAUCCCAAUUUGUUUGAAGUCAG